rnacentral:rRNA from 1 species
UACGGAGGGGCAAGCGUUAUUCGGAAUUAUUGGGCGUAAAGGGCGCGUAGGCGGCUGUUACAAGUCAAAGGUGAAAUCCCUACGGCUCAACUGAGGAACUGCCUUUGAAACUGGUACGGCUUGAGGCCGGGAGGGGUAGCGGGAAUUCCCAGUGUAGCGGUGAAAUGACGUAGAUAUUGGGAGGAACACCAGUCGGCGAAGGCGGCUACCUGGACCGGUUCGUGACGCUGAUGUACGAAAGCGUGGGAG